CAACCGGGAAACCACAUACCAUGGACAGUGCUCGGGGAAUUUCGGCUCCUCCUCACCCCUGGGGGUUCCAGGGAUCUGGCAGAGAAAGAAGCCCAGUCUCACAGCAAUGACUCCUGAACAUCCUUUGCAAACACUAUUUAGGACAGAUGGACUGAAGUAGGCCCUUGGGAGAGUUGGGGGCAUUUCCGGAGGGAACAUCCCAAAACUCAGCAGAGGGGGAGAGGGAGCUUUUGUUGGUCACCUGGAACCACUACCAAUCCAUGUUCAUGUCAAAUUAAAUGAUCACUUUGAAGU
rnacentral:antisense_RNA from 1 species